rnacentral:rRNA from 1 species
GCUUGCUACAUUUCCUAGCGGCGGACGGGUGAGUAAUGCUUAGGAAUCUGCCUAUUAGUGGGGGACAACAUUCCGAAAGGAAUGCUAAUACCGCAUACGCCCUACGGGGGAAAGCAGGGGAUCUUCGGACCUUGCGCUAAUAGAUGAGCCUAAGUCAGAUUAGCUAGUUGGUGGGGUAAAGGCCUACCAAGGCGACGAUCUGUAGCGGGUCUGAGAGGAUGAUCCGCCACACUGGGACUGAGACACGGCCCAGACUCCUACGGGAGGCAGCAGUGGGGAAUAUUGGACAAUGGGCGAAAGCCUGAUCCAGCCAUGCCGCGUGUGUGAAGAAGGCCUUUUGGUUGUAAAGCACUUUAAGCGAGGAGGAGGCUACUUAGAUUAAUACUCUAGGAUAGUGGACGUUACUCGCAGAAUAA